rnacentral:rRNA from 1 species
UGGGGAAUAUUGGACAAUGGGGGGAACCCUGAUCCAGCGAUGCCGCGUGAGUGAAGAAGGUCUUAGGAUUGUAAAGCUCUUUUGACAGGGAAGAUGAUGACGGUACCUGUAGAAUAAGCACCGGCUAACUCUGUGCCAGCAGCCGCGGUAAUACAGAGGGUGCGAGCGUUGUUCGGAAUUACUGGGCGUAAAGGGCGUGUAGGCGGUUAGGUAAGUUAGAUGUUAAAGACCAGGGCUCAACCUUGGGACUGCGUUUAAAACUGCCGGACUAGAGAGCAGGAGAGGAGAAUGGAAUUUCCGGUGUAGAGGUAAAAUUCGUAGAUAUCGGAAGGAACACCAGAGGCGAAGGCGAUUCUCUGGACUGCAGCUGACGCUGAGGCGCGAAAGCGUGGGGAGCGAACAGG